rnacentral:rRNA from 1 species
GGAUUCCCUUAGUAACUGCGAGUGAAGAGGGAAAAGCUCAAAUUUAAAAUCUGGCAGCAUUUUGCUGUCCGAGUUGUAACCUAGAGAAGUGUAACCUGUGCUGGACCGUGUAUAAGUUUCCUGGAAUGGAGCAUCACAGAGGGUGAGAAUCCCGUCUUUGACAUGGACUACCAGUGCAUUGUGGUUGUGCUCUCAACGAGUCGAGUUGUUUGGGAAUGCAGCUCUAAAUGGGUGGUAAAUUCCAUCUAAAGCUAAAUAUUGGCGAGAGACCGAUAGCGAACAAGUACCGUGAGGGAAAGAUGAAAAGAACUUUGGAAAGAGAGUUAAACAGUAUGUGAAAUUGUUGAAAGGGAAACGUUUGAAGUCAGUCGCGUUAGCUGGGGAUCAGCCUGACAUUGUUGGGUGCACUUCCUGGUUGACGGGCCAACAUCAGUUUUGACUGCCAGAAAAAGGCCAAGGGAAUGUGGCACCUUUGGGUGUGUUAUAGCCUUUGGUCAUAUAUGGUGGUUGGGACUGAGGAACGCAGUGUGCCGAAAGGCCGGGUUUCGACCACGUUCACACUGAGGAUGUUGGCAUAAUGGCUUUAAGCGACCCGUCUUGAAACACGGACCAAGGAGUCUAACAUGCAUGCGAGUGUUUGGGUGGAAAACCCUUACGCGUAAUGAAAGUGAAAGUUGAGAUCCCUGUCGUGGGGAGCAUCGACGCCCGGACCAGAACUUUUGGGACGGAUCUGCGGUAGAGCACGUAUGUUGGGACCCGAAAGAUGGUGAACUAUGCCUGAAUAGGGUGAAGCCAGAGGAAACUCUGGUGGAGGCUCGUAGCGAUUCUGACGUGCAAAUCGAUCGUCAAAUUUGGGUAUAGGGGCGAAAGACUAAUCGAACCAUCUAGUAGCUGGUUCCUGCC